rfam:Neotoma lepida isolate 417 scaffold_8513, whole genome shotgun sequence.
CAUCCGGUUCUAAUCAGAACCACACAGGAAGCAAAAACAGAAAUU